UGUGCACACCUAAGUAAGUGCAAGCUUGUGUGAGCAUUUGUUUUUUCUGGAAUGAAAUGGAUGAAAGUGCUGUUAUGAAAUCAGCAUAUCCCUUUUAACAAAGCUAUCAGUAUUUGGGGGCUGCAGUACAACUGUAUCCCUGUUGGAAAAAAAGAAGUUUCUGGCUUAGUGGUUCGAAAAUACUCUGGCUUCGUUGUAAGGCGAGGGAGGAUGUGGCAGGACCUUCCCUCAGAGUCGUGGAACGUGGGAGCUGGAUGGAACUUCUGUUCGUUCCCUUCACAGUCAGCAGUGCCUUCUUCCCACUGACCGAAGGAGGAAGUUCAUCAGCUGCCUGAGAACAGAAGUUACUGGUAUUACAGGAUUUUGUGUCCUGACCUUGUCUCAGGGCGGUUUGAGGCCAGAGGCUCUGUGUGAGGUGGCCGUUCCGAGUGCCACGAGAAGAACCUUGCCCUUCUAAAGAGCCCCGCCCCCGCGGCUGGGUGGGCGCUGCCUGCCAUGCUGCAGCCAUCAGUUUCGAAAGGCACAAUGAUCUUCACGGGAUUAGCUGCAAAGCUGCAGAAAACCCUGAGGUCUUUCAAGUAUUAGAAAAAAGGGAAGGCCCGGAAGUGGUGGGACAGUAGUAAGUUCAAGCUUAAAAAGAAACUGGCCACUGAAGCUAGAUUUGACAGAGAGUACCGCAUUUCCCUCGGGCGGCGGAGUGUCUGUCCAGCGAGUGUUGUCUGCACUCAGGGGUCUGCUGUACCAGCACUGCCCACGAAGAAUUCAGAGCCCUUGGGGGCAUACGGAUUGUGCAUUCAGGGGAGAUGGCUAAUGAGCCCAUUUUAAAUACCUUUAUUCAUGAUUUCCAGUUUAUUCAGACCUUUGGGCCUGUCUGAUGUGAUGGAUUGUGAGAAACAUACAGAUAGGGGGAAGUACGAAUGGUGUGAUAGCGCACCCUCCAUUCUGGAAUGGUUCUAGAACGGUUCUGGAACUGGAGAGACUGAGCCACCUCCAGCUCUGCCACUUUCGUCUCUGAGCCAAGUUCAUUGUCCUCUCAGGCCUUCAUUUUCCUUAUCGAAAAUGAAGAGAGUAACUACCUGUGGUAUAGGUGAGACAGUAUCGUUGGUUUACCCUAGCAGCCUUCCCCCUCUCCCGCCGUCUCCUCCGUGUUCAUUUGACAUGACAGUUAUUUAAGGCUAGAUAAGCGAGGGCAGAGGCAAAACACCAUGUCUUUGCAGGGUUUUAUUUCAUAUAAUCUGCAAGCUCACGUGUUUUCCAUUAACACUUCAUGAGGUUUAUUUAAUAUUUAAAAAUCCCGUGUAUAAUUUUAGUUUUUUCUUUUCUGCCACCUAAUUCCUCUUAGCAUCACGGUAACCACAGCUUUUCAGAGGCACACCAAUGAAAAAUGUCCCCAUUAAAUUCUUUAAGUAAUAAAUGAGCAGCUAGCUCACCGUGGCAUUGAUUUACCCAGUGGAAGCCAGUUUGAUGAAAAUGUUACAGUUACAUUUCCUUGGGACACAAAGGCGAGCCUGCAAGGUCAAGGUCAGCGCAGCAGGUGUGUUCUCUCUCGUCUUCCUCCUUCCUGCAGCACGUUUGCAGGGUGAGGGCUGGGGACUGAGGAAUGGGCCUCCGACGUUUUCCUCGGCUCAGAUUCAUCUUCCCUGCGUGGGCAUGAAGUGGCAAGGGAUGCUGGGGACACCAGCCACACCACUGGCCCGGUGGAAGAGAGAAACAAGGGACACCAGCUCAGGGACAGACGGGCGUGUGUGUUGGUGUCACUAGCCCUUUAAGAAAAGAGCAGGUGGAGAAGCAGGAUGUAGGAGACAGGAGUCCUCUGUGAAUUGUAGAAAGAACAGCGGCGUGAGAACACCGUUUCUGCUUCUUACUGGCACUUUGUAGAUGGGCAAGUCAUUUCAAAUUCCUGAGCUUUAUUUUCCUCAUCUGUAAAAUCAGGGUCAUAACCUACCUUACAGACUGUGUAUUAAAAGAUUUUCCAGAUACAAAGGCCCAGAAAAGAAGGGCCU